rnacentral:rRNA from 1 species
GUGGGGAAUAUUGGACAAUGGGCGAAAGCCUGAUCCAGCCAUGCCGCGUGUGUGAAGAAGGUCUUCGAAUUGUAAAGCACUUUAAGUUGGGAGGAAGGGCAGUAAGUUAAUACCUUGCUGUUUUGACGUUACCGACAGAAUAAGCACCGGCUAACUUCGUGCCAGCAGCCGCGGUAAUACGAAGGGUGCAAGCGUUAAUCGGAAUUACUGGGCGUAAAGCGCGCGUAGGUGGUUUUGUAAGUUGGAGGUGAAAUCCCCGGGCUCAACCUGGGAACUGCCUCCAAAACUGCAUGACUAGAGUACGGUAGAGGGUAGUGGAAUUUCCUGUGUAGCGGUGAAAUGCGUAGAUAUAGGAAGGAACACCAGUGGCGAAGGCGACUACCUGGACUGAUACUGACACUGAGGUGCGAAAGCGUGGGGAGCAAACAGGAUUAGAAACCCGUGUAGUCC